GGGCCCGCACAAGCGGUGGAGCAUGUGGUUUAAUUCGAAGCAACGCGAAGAACCUUACCAGGUCUUGACAUCCUUUUGACCUUCCUAGAGAUAGGAAUUUCCCUUCGGGGACAAAAGUGACAGGUGGUGCAUGGUUGUCGUCAGCUCGUGUCGUGAGAUGUUGGGUUAAGUCCCGCAACGAGCGCAACCCUUGAUCUUAGUUGCCAGCAUUCAGUUGGGCACUCUAAGGUGACUGCCGGUGACAAACCGGAGGAAGGUGGGGAUGACGUCAAAUCAUCAUGCCCCUUAUGACCUGGGCUACACACGUGCUACAAUGGAUGGUACAAAGAGCUGCAAACUCGCGAGGGUAAGCGAAUCUCAUAAAGCCAUUCUCAGUUCGGAUUGUAGGCUGCAACUCGCCUACAUGAAGCCGGAAUCGCUAGUAAUCGUAGAUCAGCAUGCUACGGUGAAUACGUUCCCGGGCCUUGUACACACCGCCCGUCACACCACGAAAGUUUGUAACACCCAAAGUCGGUGAGGUAACCGCAAGGAGCCAGCCGCCUAAGGUGAGAUAGAUGAUUGGGGUG
rnacentral:rRNA from 1 species